rnacentral:rRNA from 1 species
UUGGUAAAGCAUUUACCUAAGUUAUUGAAAAUUCAUAAUUCAUCAGUUAUUUUAGAUAAUACUAAAAAACAAGAUAGAGUAAGAUACAAAAGUGUAAAAGAAAGUGGAUUCAUCAGAUGAUACAUGAGUCCCUAA